rnacentral:tRNA from 1 species
CAGAGCACCUGCCUUGCACGCAGGGGGUCAAGGGUUCGACUCCCUUAUUCUCCA